rnacentral:rRNA from 1 species
AUGAACGCUGGCGGCAGGCCUAAAACAUGCAAGUCGAGCGCUCUAGCAAUAGAGAGCGGCGCACGGGUGAGUAACAUGUGGGAAUAUGCCUUUUGGUACGGAACAACUUUUGGAAACGAAAGCUAAUACCGUAUGGUCCCUUCGGGGUAAAGAUUUAUCGCCAAAAGAUUAGCCCGCACUGGAUUAGCUAGUUGGUAAGGUAAUGGCUUACCAAGGCGACGAUCCAUAGCUGGUCUGAGAGGACGAUCAGCCACACUGGGACUGAGACACGGCCCAGACUCCUACGGGAGGCAGCAGUUAGGAAUAUUGGACAAUGGGGGCAACCCUGAUCCAGCCAUGCCGCGUGAGUGAUGAAGGCCUUCGGGUUGUAAAGCUCUUUAGUCCACGAAUAUAAUGACUGUAGUGGAAGAAUAAGCCCCGGCUAACUUCGU